rnacentral:lncRNA from 1 species
AGUUCAAUUCAGAUCGGUCAGUCUUUUGAGCUUCUCGAUCUUCAAAAACCUUCCAGUUUGACAGGAUUUGUUAAGGGCAUUUCCCAAUCAUUAGGGUUUUGCUUUGUUGAUUAUAGAAGUGAAAGCUUGAAACCGUGAAGUUCCUCCGAGUGCAUUUAGAUUUUCUUUUAAAGUUUUAUUUGUUUAGAAUUUGUAUUGUUUAGAUAUUCGCGGGUUAUCUAUAUGUUCAUUUUCUUUUGUAUUGUGCCUAUCAGAUGAUGAAUUUGGGAUAGGUAUGGUAUGUUCUGAAUUGAAUUACGGGGAAAAAAAUUAGAAGAAAAAAAGUCCCGAGUUAUUG